rnacentral:snoRNA from 10 species
UGAGUCAGUGAUAAUGGUGUGUUAUGAACAAAGGAUUAUGAUUGAUGCAGUUCUUGCACCUAUUCAAA